GGGCCCCGCACAAGCAGCGGAGCGUGUGGUUUAAUUCGAUGUUACACGAAGAACCUUACCUGGGUUUGACAUGCUAGUGGUAAUGAAGCGAAAGCUAAGUGACCCGCAAGGGAGCUAGCACAGGUGCUGCAUGGCUGUCGUCAGCUCGUGUCGUGAGAUGUUCGGUUAAGUCCGCUAACGAGCGCAACCCUCGCUGUGUGUUACAAGUGUCACACAGGACCGCCGGUCUUAAGCCGGAGGAAGGUGGGGAUGACGUCAAGUCAGCAUGGCCUUUAUGUCCAGGGCUACACACACGCUACAAUGGUCAGCACAAUAGGUAGCCAAGCCGCGAGGUGGAGCCAAUCCUCAAAGCUGGCCUCAGUUCAGAUCGCAGGCUGCAACCCGCCUGCGUGAAGCCGGAGUUGCUAGUAACCGCAGGUCAGCUAUACUGCGGUGAAUACGUUCCCGGGGCUU
rnacentral:rRNA from 1 species